AGAGUUUGAUCAUGGCUCAGAACGAACGCUGGCGGCGUGCUUAAGACAUGCAAGUCGAACGGAAAGGCCCCCUUCGGGGGGUACUCGAGUGGCGCACGGGUGAGUAACGCGUGGGCAAUCUGCCUUCGGGUCUGGGACAACCCCGGGAAACUGGGGCUAAUACCGGAUGAGACCACGGACCCUUCGGGGUCUGCGGAAAAAGAUGGCCUCUCCUUGGAAGCUAUCGCCCGUCGAUGAGCCCGCGUCCCAUUAGCUUGUUGGUGAGGUAACGGCUCACCAAGGCUUCGAUGGGUAGCUGGUCUGAGAGGAUGAUCAGCCACACUGGAACUGAGACACGGUCCAGACUCCUACGGGAGGCAGCAGUCGGGGAUUUUGGGCAAUGGGCGAAAGCCUGACCCAGCAACGCCGCGUGAGGGAUGAAGGCCCUCGGGUCGUAAACCUCUGUCGGGAGGGAAGAACGGUUGCCCUUCGAAUAGGUGGGCAGCCUGACGGUACCUCCAAAGGAAGGUCCGGCUAACUCCGUGCCAGCAGCCGCGGUAAUACGGAGGGACCAAGCGUUGUUCGGAAUCAUUGGGCGUAAAGCGCGUGUAGGCGGCUUGGCAAGUCGGGUGUGAAAUCCCGGGGCCCAACCCCGGAACUGCAUUCGAAACUACCUCGCUAGAGUCCCGGAGAGGAAGGCGGAAUUCCCGGUGUAGAGGUGAAAUUCGUAGAUAUCGGGAGGGAACACCAGGGGCGAAGGCGG
rnacentral:rRNA from 1 species